rnacentral:tRNA from 1 species
GUGAGCGUAGCUCAGUUGGUAGAGCCCCGGAUUGUGAUUCCGGUGGUCGCGGGUUCAAAUCCCGUCGCUCACCCCA